GUGUCCUAGGAUAAGCUACUUUAUUCACUGAUCCUCAAUUUUCUUAUCUGUAAAAUCUAGCUCAUGGGUGUGUUCUGAGGACCAAAUGAAUUAAAGGAUAUGAGCACCUGGGUCAAAGCAAUGAAAGGUGUGAACUAGACUGGCUUGAGGGAUGACUAGAUGGCUGGUGAAGCAGUGCUCCUGGGUGUUUCUGAAAGUUGCCAGAGACUGACCGACAUUCAAGUCAGGCGACUGAGAGAGGAAGAUGCGCCCCAAUGUGGGUGGGCACCAUCCAGUGGAUUGCCAGUAUGGCUAGAACAGGGCAGACGGUAGAAGGGUACCCAGCCUGCUGAGUCUUCUUGCUCUUCCUCUCUCCUCCUGUGCGGGAUGCUUGCUUCCUCUCCUCCUGCCUUUGAAUAUGAUGAGCCAGCCAAGUAAAACGGGCUCCUAGAGAAUCUCCAACUGACCUGUGCAAUGGGAGGAUGGGGUGGGGUCUCGGGAAGUUCCAGCCAUUUGCAGGGGGGAGGAGCCUGGCCCCUCCUGUUCCUGGGUGGUGACCUGGGAUUCAAUUGGUGAGAUGGGGGCCUGUUAACAGGAACCAUCUUGCUUUGCUGAGUUUUUUCCUUUUUUCACCCAAUAAAUUCUGCUUUU
rnacentral:lncRNA from 1 species